rnacentral:rRNA from 1 species
AUUGAACGCUGGCGGCAUGCUUUACACAUGCAAGUCGAACGGUAACAGGCCGCAAGGUGCUGACGAGUGGCGAACGGGUGAGUAAUGCAUCGGAACGUGCCCAGUCGUGGGGGAUAACUACUCGAAGGGGUGCCUAAUCCGGCAUCGGAUUUAUGGAUGAAAGCGGGGGACCGUAGGGCCUCGGGGGAUUGGAGCGGCGGAUGUCAGAUUAGGUAGUUGGUGGGGUAAAGGCUAACCAAGCCAACGAUCUGUAGCUGGUCUGAGAGGACGACCAGCCACACUGGGACUGAGACACGGCCCAGACUCCUACGGGAGGCAGCAGUGGGGAAUUUUGGACAAUGGGCGCAAGCCUGAUCCAGCAAUGCCGCGUGUAGGAAGAAGGCCUUCGGGUUGUAAACUGCUUUUGUACGGAACGAAACGGCUCUGGUUAAUACCCGGGGCUAAUGACGGUACCGUAAGAAUAAGCACCGGCUAACUACGUG